CAUAUCAUAUUUUAGUAAAAGCAGUUGAGAAGCUUGGAGAAAAGUACUUAGAAUACAUCAAUAAUAUUAAUUAUCAAGUAGGCUUGGUUUCACUAUACUGUGUAAAUAAAUUUAUUGAAAACAAUUAUCAAGUUGUAACGUUAAUGUUCAGGCCGCUAAGUGAAUCAAGUUCGACAGAUGAAUCAAGUGACAAUUAAAUAUUUUGUAAAAUUUUUUAUGAUAAAUGUAAUUUGAAUUUAUUGUCUAGUAAAAUAAUAUGUUAACUUUGAUCUAUUUAUGAAAAACAAUAAUAAUUAUUGCAAGUUUAUAUCUUACGUUUAUCUGGACUUACAUAAUACUAUAGUUAUAACAUUUACAGCAUGUAA